rnacentral:rRNA from 1 species
ACUCCUACGGGAGGCAGCAGUGGGGAAUAUUGCACAAUGGGCGCAAGCCUGAUGCAGCCAUGCCGCGUGUGUGAAGAAGGCCUUCGGGUUGUAAAGCACUUUCAGUUGUGAGGAAAGGAUUAGUCGCUAAUAUCGGGUACUAGCUGNGAUCGUUUAGCAACAGAAGAAGCACCGGCAUAACUCCGUGCCAGCAGCCGCGGUAAUACGG